GGGUUGUGAGGUUAAGCGACUAAGCGUACACGGUGGAUGCCCUGGCAGUCAGAGGCGAUGAAGGGCGUGCUAAUCUGCGAUAAGCGCCGGUAAGGUGAUAUGAACCGUUAUAACCGGCGAUACCCGAAUGGGGAAACCCAGUGUGACUCGUCACACUAUCAUUAACUGAAUCCAUAGGUUAAUGAGGCGAACCGGGGGAACUGAAACAUCUAAGUACCCCGAGGAAAAGAAAUCAACCGAGAUUCCCCCAGUAGCGGCGAGCGAACGGGGAGGAGCCCAGAGCCUGAAUCAGCAUGUGUGUUAGUGGAAGCGUCUGGAAAGGCGCGCGAUACAGGGUGACAGCCCCGUACACAAAAGCGCAUGUGCUGUGAGCUCGAUGAGUAGGGCGGGACACGUGGUAUCCUGUCUGAAUAUGGGGGGACCAUCCUCCAAGGCUAAAUACUCCUGACUGACCGAUAGUGAACCAGUACCGUGAGGGAAAGGCGAAAAGAACCCCGGCGAGGGGAGUGAAAAAGAACCUGAAACCGUGUACGUACAAGCAGUGGGAGCCCCACCACCAAAGCAUUCUCUGGUGUUGAAGGCCCUGCAAAGCAGCAUCGCGGUGGCGGAGCGUCGUUUGCGACGCCCAACACACAAAACAAGCGGUGAGUGCUUUGGGGUGGGGUGACUGCGUACCUUUUGUAUAAUGGGUCAGCGACUUAUAUUCUGUAGCAAGGUUAACCGAAUAGGGGAGCCGGAGGGAAACCGAGUCUUAAUUGGGCGUUAAGUUGCAGGGUAUAGACCCGAAACCCGGUGAUCUAGCCAUGGGCAGGUUGAAGGUUGGGUAACACUAACUGGAGGACCGAACCGACUAAUGUUGAAAAAUUAGCGGAUGACCUGUGGCUGGGGGUGAAAGGCCAAUCAAACCGGGAGAUAGCUGGUUCUCCCCGAAAGCUAUUUAGGUAGCGCCUCGUGAAUUCAUCUCCGGGGGUAGAGCACUGUUUCGGCUAGGGGGCCAUCCCGGCUUACCAACCCGAUGCAAACUGCGAAUACCGGAGAAUGUUAUCACGGGAGACACACGGCGGGUGCUAACGUCCGUCGUGAAGAGGGAAACAACCCAGACCGCCAGCUAAGGUCCCAAAGUCAUGGUUAAGUGGGAAACGAUGUGGGAAGGCCCAGACAGCCAGGAUGUUGGCUUAGAAGCAGCCAUCAUUUAAAGAAAGCGUAAUAGCUCACUGGUCGAGUCGGCCUGCGCGGAAGAUGUAACGGGGCUAAACCAUGCACCGAAGCUGCGGCAGCGACGCUGAUGCGUUGUUGGGUAGGGGAGCGUUCUGUAAGCCUGCGAAGGUGGCCUGUGAGGGUUGCUGGAGGUAUCAGAAGUGCGAAUGCUGACAUAAGUAACGAUAAAGCGGGUGAAAAGCCCGCUCGCCGGAAGACCAAGGGUUCCUGUCCAACGUUAAUCGGGGCAGGGUGAGUCGACCCCUAAGGCGAGGCCGAAAGGCGUAGUCGAUGGGAAACGGGUUAAUAUUCCCGUACUUGGUGUUACUGCGAAGGGGGGACGGAGAAGGCUAUGUUGGCCGGGCGACGGUUGUCCCGGUUUAAGCGUGUAGGUGUGUGUUCCAGGUAAAUCCGGUUCACUUUAACACUGAGGCGUGAUGACGAGGCACUACGGUGCUGAAGCAACAAAUGCCCUGCUUCCAGGAAAAGCCUCUAAGCAUCAGGUAACAUCAAAUCGUACCCCAAACCGACACAGGUGGUCAGGUAGAGAAUACCAAGGCGCUUGAGAGAACUCGGGUGAAGGAACUAGGCAAAAUGGUGCCGUAACUUCGGGAGAAGGCACGCUGACACGUAGGUGAAGUGAUUUACUCAUGGAGCUGAAGUCAGUCGAAGAUACCAGCUGGCUGCAACUGUUUAUUAAAAACACAGCACUGUGCAAACACGAAAGUGGACGUAUACGGUGUGACGCCUGCCCGGUGCCGGAAGGUUAAUUGAUGGGGUCAGCGCAAGCGAAGCUCCUGAUCGAAGCCCCGGUAAACGGCGGCCGUAACUAUAACGGUCCUAAGGUAGCGAAAUUCCUUGUCGGGUAAGUUCCGACCUGCACGAAUGGCGUAAUGAUGGCCAGGCUGUCUCCACCCGAGACUCAGUGAAAUUGAACUCGCUGUGAAGAUGCAGUGUACCCGCGGCAAGACGGAAAGACCCCGUGAACCUUUACUAUAGCUUGACACUGAACAUUGAGCCUUGAUGUGUAGGAUAGGUGGGAGGCUUUGAAGUGUGGACGCCAGUCUGCAUGGAGCCGACCUUGAAAUACCACCCUUUAAUGUUUGAUGUUCUAACGUGGACCCGUUACCCGGGUUGCGGACAGUGUCUGGUGGGUAGUUUGACUGGGGCGGUCUCCUCCUAAAGAGUAACGGAGGAGCACGAAGGUUGGCUAAUCCUGGUCGGACAUCAGGAGGUUAGUGCAAUGGCAUAAGCCAGCUUGACUGCGAGCGUGACGGCGCGAGCAGGUGCGAAAGCAGGUCAUAGUGAUCCGGUGGUUCUGAAUGGAAGGGCCAUCGCUCAACGGAUAAAAGGUACUCCGGGGAUAACAGGCUGAUACCGCCCAAGAGUUCAUAUCGACGGCGGUGUUUGGCACCUCGAUGUCGGCUCAUCACAUCCUGGGGCUGAAGUAGGUCCCAAGGGUAUGGCUGUUCGCCAUUUAAAGUGGUACGCGAGCUGGGUUUAGAACGUCGUGAGACAGUUCGGUCCCUAUCUGCCGUGGGCGCUGGAGAACUGAGGGGGGCUGCUCCUAGUACGAGAGGACCGGAGUGGACGCAUCACUGGUGUUCGGGUUGUCAUGCCAAUGGCACUGCCCGGUAGCUAAAUGCGGAAGAGAUAAGUGCUGAAAGCAUCUAAGCACGAAACUUGCCCCGAGAUGAGUUCUCCCUGAGACUUAGAGUCUCCUGAAGGAACGUUGAAGACGACGACGUUGAUAGGCCGGGUGUGUAAGCGCAGCGAUGCGUUGAGCUAACCGGUACUAAUGAACCGUGAGGCUUAACCUUACAACGCCGAAG
rnacentral:rRNA from 3 species